GCUAUUACAAAUGAAGGAAACCAUGCAGCUUGUUUCUUCGGAUUGCUUGAGUCCAGAAGUUCUGGGCUGCAGUGUGCUAUGUCGGGCGUCUGCACUAAGUUCAGCAUCAAUAUGGUGACCUCCUGGAAGCAGGGGAACACCAGGUUGCCUAAGGAGGUGUGAACCCACCCAGGUCAGAAAUGGAGCAGGUCAAAACUCCCGUGCUGAUCAGAAAAAGCUUUAAAUAUAGAAAAAAAUCAAUGUAUAUAGCUAUCAUGAAUUAGAAGAAAGU
rnacentral:sRNA from 1 species